UAAACUUGGAUCAGCAUUAUUUACUUUUACUAAAGAAAAAUUCUACCAGUGGAAAAAAAUAUAUGUAUAUAUAAGAAGUAUUUGAAAAUAUUUCCGAAAAUUCUAAAUUUUUUCUGUUAGAGACAAGUCAUUUAUUUGCUAACAAGUAAUAAAAAGGAAUUCUUAAUUUAAUUAAGAAUUAGAGUAGACCUUGAUCUUUUGCAGAAAUGCAAAGAUAUCUGAGUCACACAACUUAGACAAUUAAAAUUUUCUAGAUAGAAGUGUCAAUGUUGCGCUUUCCAUUGUAUUAGUGGCUGCUACAUUCUCUUUCUUCAAGUUUCAUGCCAGGAGUCAGAAAUAUUUCCUUGAUGUUGUGGGAGUCUGUGAGAAACAUGGUAACACAUUUGAUUGUCACGCUCCAACCAGCUGUGGGCGGAAGCCCAUAUUCCAGGGUUGCAUGGAAGCUUUCAUCUAUGAAUGUGGCCUCAUCAUCUUUGCUGGCCUUGUCUUGUUUGUCAACAGCUGCUGCUGUUGCUGCAUGGAAACAUUCAGCUAUCUUCAUGACAAAUAGCUCAAAGUGCUCAGUGAGACCCUCUUAGAGUGAUCAUUUGGUCAAAGAGCUCAUUAUCUGCAGGUGAUAACAGAUAAAUGUGGGACUGAUGUAAGUCACUUUCAGGAACUCCUUGACAAGUUUAUCAAGGCGCCUGAAUAUGUUCUGAGGUAGAAGACUUUCAAAAGCUUUUGUUACAUAGAUAUCACCAAGAAUUUUUUGAGUUUCUUCAGUUCCAAAGAGGUUAGUUUCUGGCAGCGUCACACCCAGCACUUUUUCAAGCUCUUCUACCACACCGAUUCUCCAGAAGGGUGAGGAGAAGUCAACCCAUAGGUUUGGCUUUCUGAGCCAUCUGGAUGGUGGGUGACCUUGUAACCACCUGUGAUGUGCUUCAUCCCUGACAUAAUCUUUUCUUGGAUUUCAAUGAGAUCAUGACAGUCUGCACAGACCAUAUAGGGUGGCAAAUCAAAUACAUUCUCUUAUUCCUUAACUGGCAUCCAAUUUCAUAAAUCCAGUCAAUGCUACUAACCAGCAUCUGAAGGUAGAGUCCUGGAGCAAUUCUCAAAUACAAGUUAAUGUCCAGCUUGUUGUAGCAGGUGAUGAAAGGCUUAGCCCCUGCUACCCGGGAUGACGUUCAUCAUGAGGGUUUCAAUGUCUAGAAAUCUCAACUCAUCCAAAAACCUUGUCAUAUAUGUGGUGAUCUUAGGGCAGAUGAUACACUGCUUUCUCAGAAAGUCACUCAGGAUCAAAUCCAAGUACUCAAAUAAUAUUGGGUCUCCUUGCCUUUGAGGCUAAAGUAAGGAUGGGGCAACAUGUGAGCCAGGAGGCAGCAGUGCAAUUUUGCAGGGGCUGAUGCUGCGCUCGCCCUUCUUGGUGUUUCCUAGAUUUUCCUGGACUCUGAGAACGUCUCCCUGAGGCAGUUUAUUUAUUGACUUAUAAUUCCUUGACCUGGCCAUAACUUGUAACUUCACCCUGGUCCGCAGGGGUCAUUAGAAGGCGAACUUUCCCCAGCUCUUUUGGCAUGGAUCUCCAGGGUGACAUCAGUCAGGUGGUCCCAGGCUGCAGGUGACUGCACUACGGGAUGAAGCAAGCGAGUAAUGUCCACAUGGAAGCUGCAGGGGUCUUCCCCAGUAACCUUCGGCGGUGGCCUGCGCUGGGGGACCUGUAAGGGGCCUCAAAGUUUCCAUUUGGGUCCACAGUUAGUGGUGUGGCUGAUGGCACCAGCCGCGGCUGGCCUAGCUGUUGCUCACUGAGCUCCGGCUUGGCCCCCUUCUCGGCUACUUUCUUCUCUUCAGCUCAUUCUUGUCAGUUCGGCAUCACCACCGCCCACUUCCACUUCAGAGCCCUGUCCUGCAGGCACCUUUCCUGACGCCUGGGGUGAGGAAGUCGAGACCUCUCGGCCAUUUCCAGGUUCGCUCGAAGCCCCGCCUCUUCGGGGGAGAGGAGGGUAGCGUCUUCCGCGCGGGGCUGCUGCGGCUGCGCAAUCGCGGCCUGGUGUCAUUGCUCUCCUCCUACUGCGCAGACGCGGUGCUGGGUUCGUCGUCCGGUGUGGAUGCCGGUCUGCCUGCUGCGCAGGCACCGUGCUGGGCUCGCGGCCUGGCCUCAGUGCGUGUCCUUUUGCUGCGCAGGCGCAGUGCCGGGUUCGCGGCCCAGCCUCAGUGCUAGUGCUUCUGCUGUGCAGGCGCAGUACUGGGUUCGUGGCCUGGCGUCAGUUGUGCGCCUGCGCGCUGGCGCUCUAGGCUGUGGCUCUCAGCGACUACGGAGGCCAAGGCAGGACGCGGGCUGCGGGCGUGGGAGGGCACGAUCUCAGCUCACUGCAACUCGGCGAGGCGCUGGCCGAGACCAUGACUAUUGGUUUUUAGGUGGUGUUUUGCUCUGUCAUCCAGGCUGGAGUGCAACGGCACAAUCUCAGCUCACUGCAACAUCUGCCUCCCAGGUUCAAGCCAUUGUCCUGCCUCAAGAGGAGAUUCUACUGUCUCAGCCUCCCGAGUAGCUGAAACUACAGGUCUUUAGAUAAUAACGCUUUCAACUGAUUGCCAAUCAGAAUAUCUUUGAAGCCACCUAUGACCUGGAAGCCCCCACCUUCCCGUUUUCUGGAACGAACCAGUGUACAACUUAUGCUUAUUGAUUGGUGUCUGUAUGUAACUUCUGUCCCCCUAAAAUACAUAAAAUCAAGCUGUGACCCAACUACCUUGGACACAUGUUCUCAGGACCUUCCAAGGCUGUGUCAUGGGUCAUGGUCCUCACAUUUGGCUCAGAAUAAAUCUCUUCAAAUAUUUUA